UACGUAGGGGGCGAGCGUUGUCCGGAUUUAUUGGGCGUAAAGAGCUCGUAGGCGGUUCGAUAAGUCGGAUGUGAAAUCUCCACGCUUAACGUGGAGGGUGCAUUCGAUACUGUCGUGACUAGAGUCCGGUAGAGGAGUGUGGAAUUCCUGGUGUAGCGGUGAAAUGCGCAGAUAUCAGGAGGAACACCGAUUGCGAAGGCAGCUCGCUGGGACGUAACUGACGCUGAGACGCGAAAGCGUGGGGAGCAAACAGG
rnacentral:rRNA from 1 species